ensembl:lncRNA
GCUGGUCCAUGUUGACUCUACAAGGUGUUGUAAGCGUUCCACAGGGAUGCUGGUCCAUGUUGACUCUACAAGGUGUUGAAAGCGUUCCACAGGGAUGCUGGUCCAUGUUGACUCUACAAGGUGUUGAAAGCGUUCCACAGGGAUGCUGGCCCAUGUUGACUCUACAAGGUGUUGAAAGCGUUCCACAGGGAUGCUGGCCCAUGUUGACUCUACAAGGUGUUGAAAGCGUUCCACAGGGAUGCUGGUCCAUGUUGACUCUACAAGGUGUUGAAAGCGUUCCACAGGGAUGCUGGUCCAUGUUGACUCUACAAGGUGUUGAAAGCGUUCCACAGGGAUGCUGGUCCAUGUUGACUCUACAAGGUGUUGAAAGCAGGGAUACUGGUCCAUGUUGACUCUACAAGGUGUUGAAAGCAGGGAUACUGGCCCAUGUUGACUCUACAAGGUGUUGAAAGCAGG